UUGAACGCUGGCGGCAGGCCUCACCCAUGCAAGUCGAGCGGAUGAAGGGAGCUUGCUCCUGGAUUCAGCGGCGGACGGGUGAGUAAUGCCUAGGAAUCUGCCUGGUAGUGGGGGAUAACGUCCGGAAACGGGCGCUAAUACCGCAUACGUCCUGAGGGAGAAAGUGGGGGAUCUUCGGACCUCACGCUAUCAGAUGAGCCUAGGUCGGAUUAGCUAGUUGGUGGGGUAAAGGCCUACCAAGGCGACGAUCCGUAACUGGUCUGAGAGGAUGAUCAGUCACACUGGAACUGAGACACGGUCCAGACUCCUACGGGAGGCAGCAGUGGGGAAUAUUGGACAAUGGGCGAAAGCCUGAUCCAGCCAUGCCGCGUGUGUGAAGAAGGUCUUCGGAUUGUAAAGCACUUUAAGUUGGGAGGAAGGGCAGUAAGUUAAUACCUUGCUGUUUUGACGUUACCAACAGAAUAAGCACCGGCUAACUUCGUG
rnacentral:rRNA from 1 species